UACGAAGGGGGCUAGCGUUGUUCGGAAUUACUGGGCGUAAAGGGCGCGUAGGCGGCUUUAUCAGUCAGAUGUGAAAGCCCUGGGCUUAACCCAGGAACUGCAUUUGAUACUGUAGAGCUAGAGGAUGGGAGAGGAUAGUGGAAUUUUCAGUGUAGAGGUGAAAUUCGUAGAUAUUGAAAAGAACACCGGUGGCGAAGGCGGCUAUCUGGACCAUUACUGACGCUGAGGCGCGAAAGCGUGGGGAGCAAACAGG
rnacentral:rRNA from 1 species